rnacentral:rRNA from 1 species
AAUACGUUCCCGGGCCUUGUACACACCGCCCGUCACACCAUGGGAGUGGGUUGCACCAGAAGUAGCUAGUCUAACCUUCGGGGGGACGGUUACCACGGUGUGAUUCAUGACUGGGGUGAAGUCGUAACAAGGUAGCCGUAGGGGAACCUGCGGCUGGAUCACCUCCUUAAU